AGGUUGGUCCUUCAGAUGCUUGCUGAAUAGCUUUUGUGGACUAGGCAUUCUUGGGAGCUACUGGGAAUACAGGGUGCUUGCUAGCCCCUAGUCCGGUUUCCGGCUCACCAGUAAGAUGAAACAGGAAGAUGCAGAAAACUGGGAAGAGAUGCCUGAAGAAGCUGCUAGGUUUCUAGCUGAGUCAGAGCCCUUAGACCGAAUUGGCCUUCAUGAGAAGUGUGGUCCGUCACAGCCCAUGAGCUGUCUGAAAGGCAUCAAGUCAAUCUUAGAAAUGGUGAAGGCGAAGGGUAUUUAUAGGCCCUUUCCUUCUGUGCACUAAGGAUAAGAUUCAAUUUUAUGUGAAAAAAAAUGCCUUAAAGAUUAAAUAGGUUUAUG